rnacentral:sRNA from 1 species
ACUCUGGGGCUGGCGCAGGCCCUCAGCGACGCCGGGCGCGUGCGUUCCGUUGCCUCCAGCCCCUGGGCACCGCUGCCAGUCGCUCCCUGGCGGGGAGAGGCCUGCAGAAGUCAGGCCAGGUGUCUCUCUUUCCCUUGGGCCCGCGGCCCAACCCCAUAGCACCAGGCAGCCCCCAUUGGUAUUGCGACCUCUGCGUCAGUCGCGCUCAUUCCGUAGAUACAGGUGUGCCGGGGAAGCCCGGGGAAGGGAUGCGUGGCCAUCACCACACCCCGCCCCACGACGCGGUGGGACGCGCACCCUGGCUCUCCCCAGAGCCGCGCCCAGGACCUUGUCUGGGCGGAAAAUGGCAGCCGUUGCCGGGCAGGAGCGGCGAGCGAGAGGGGCCCCGGCCAGAGACACUGGGAGCCAUCCCUAGGAGGGAGGAAAGCGGGGCGGGCUUGAGCCGAGCCUUCAAGCUCCUGGAGCAGGCUCCAUUGUCCUGUGAGACUUCGCUGAGAAAACCCAAAUUCAAAGGCAUGGCUCUGUCAGCGCUGAUGAGGCUGCCCGCACGGCUCCCUUCCAUCUUGACCUCUGGUUCUACUUCACACUGCAGAACUGGGUUCUGGACUUUGGGCGUCCCAUUGCCAUGCUGGUAUUCCCUCUCGAAUGGUUUCCACUCAACAAGCCCAGUGUUGGGGACUAUUUCCACAUGGCCUACAACGUCAUCACACCCUUUCUCUUGCUCAAGGUACUGUCCCAGGGCCCCCACUCUCUCCUGUCAUCCCCAUUCUUUGCACACCUGGCAAGAAGGUGAUGCUAAGCCCUGUGUCCUGACUCAAGCACACUCCUGCCUGCUGCUGGGGGGUGAAGGCUGUGACAGAGCAGCAUGUCCAGGGCCUGGGGCCCAGGGGAGGCGGAGCUGCCGGUGGCCUGGAGGGAUGGAAAAUAUACCCCAAGGGAGGGCUUUUGAUUUGAGCCUCAGCCUGGCGUGCCAGCAGGGGAAGCAGAGAGGUGUUCAGGUAGAAGGACCUAAGGACAAGGCUGUGCUUGGGAAACCGUAAAACAUUUGGGGAGGCUGAGGCAGGAGUGACUGGGGGUCCAGGGAGAGGUCAGGGACCCACUGGGAAGAGAAGCAGCAGCCAGGUGGCGGGAGAGGCAGCAGCAGCAGCUGAACUCCAUCCUCCGCCCUGGAGAGCCCUGAGAUGUCACUGGGAGCACGAGCAGGAACUGCUGGCUUUGCACUUUGCCAAGUAAGGGCUUUGAAACUACUAUAGGUUGAGCAUCCCUAAUCCAAAAAUCUGAAAUCUGAAAUGCUCCAGAGGAGUCUGAAAUUUUUAAAGUACUGGCAUGAUACUAUAAGUAGAAAACUCGGCCGGGCGCGGUGGCUCGAGCCUGUAAUCCCAGCACUUUGGGAGGCUGAGGUGGGCGGAUCACUUGAGGUCAGAAGUUCAAGCCCAGCCUGGCCAACAUGGUGAAACCCCCGUCUCCAUUAUAGGGCCGGCAUGGUGGCUUACGCCUGUAAUCCCAGCACUCUGGGAGCCCAAGGCAGGCAGAUCACUUGAGGUCAGGAGUUCGAGACCAGCCUGGCCAACAUGGCAAAACCUCAUCUCCAUUAAAAAUACAAAAAAGUUAGCCAGGCGCGGUGGUGUGGGCCUGCAGUCCCAGCUACUUGGGAGGCUGAGGCAGGAGAAUCACUUGAAUCCAGGAGGUGGAGGUUGCAGUGAGCCGAGAUUCCACCACCGCACUCCAGCCU